rnacentral:lncRNA from 1 species
GCCUUCCGUCAAUGAAAGGUUGUAAAAGAAAAAAAUACAAUAGCCUUUGAAGAUGUCAUAGUUAUUGUACCAAUAUACAUGAGUAAACCUACAAAAAUGUAGUUUUUAAUCAGGAAUAUGUUAGGGCUAAGCUUUUAGAUACGCUUCUCUUGGUUACGACUGUAUAUUGUGAAAAAUGUAUUGCUGAGUAAAUCCUGGAUUUUUUGGCAUAUUUAGACAGAAACAUAAAUUCAAGACUUAAAUUUAAAAAUAAACACUGAUGUCUGGCAUGGGUAUUGGUUCUAACCUUUACACUCAAAAUUCCAGACAUAUUGACAA